CGCGUUUUCAAAUGAAGAAAAUGGCAGUUCCCCAAAUAGCAAAAAUCAACAAUAUACUCAACAAAUUCACAUGUUAUAUAUAUCAUGUAUAUAUAAGCGAAAACAAAAGGACAAGGGAUACUGACCCGACAUCAUCACGAUUGAGACAAUUGAUGAAAACAUCGCCACGAACAGAUAAAAUCAUUGAGAAUGAACAGAUAAAACAAAAUUUUCAACAAUUUGUUUGGAUUCUCCUGAAGAAUUUCGAACAAGUAACGGAAAUUUUGGGAGGAAUGAGUUGGGAAAGGCUGAAGAAAGAAGAAAAAUGUUGCAUAAGAGAAGCGAGUGUGACUGUGGGCGUGCGAGAAAGAGAGAGGUAGAAGAAAUUAGGGUUGCCUGGUCAAAGUUGCGUGAAGUGUGGAAAAUAAAAAGGUAAAAGACCUCCGUGUUACAGAGUAAGUUCUCCGUGCAGUGGGAGAGAGAGAAAAAAAAUGAAUAAAUUUAAUUAUCACUCAUCGAACUUUACUUCUAUUAUUACUUACUCACUCGUCUUCAACAAGUUACUCAAUACUCACUCAUCUUUCCCUAAAAUUACUCAUCCAUCAUUCAAUUAACUUCCCAUCCAUCAAAUGGAUGGUAAACACAGGUUGAAAACAAUAUUUAUUACAUGGCAAUUCUUCCUCAUCCUCAUCAACCACAUCAGCCAAAUCAAAUUCCAAUCUUUUCCAUGGCGGAUGUUGAUCUAGAGACAGCAGCAGGACAGCCAAAGAAGAGAACGUUCAAGAAGUUUAGCUUCAGGGGUGUUGAUCUUGAUGCCCUCCUGGACCUGUCGAGCUCAUCCAUGCCCGUGCUCGCAUAAGGUUCCAGCUGGGUUUAAAGAGGAAGCCCAUGGUAAAAAUCCACCCCAAAUAAUACAUUGUCAAUUAGCUGUACUCUAUGAUACUGAUCUUUUACUUGGUAAUAACCAUACAAAACCACAAACCGCAGACAGCAAUUUAAAUUUCUUAGCCAACUUCCAGUUUCAGAAAAAUCAUUGACUCAGUUUUCCCUUGCCUUUUCCCUCCCCUUUUCCAUACCAAAUCCGAUGCACAAAAAAAAAAUUCAAAGCACUGUAAAAAUCUGUUGAUUCAUUGACUCAUCUUGGCCUCAAAUGUGCUGGUUGCAUCAAAAUUCUUCACCAAAAUGCCUAAAAGAUUUCAGUAAAAGAUUUCAAGAUAAUUUAUAUACCCUUUUCCCCAGCAAGCAUUCAGCAUAAUUUGACUUCAUAAAUCGGCAAUUGGAUUCAUAAUCAGUGAAAUCGUGAAUGCCACUGCAAGUGGAUGAAGCCUGAAAUUGCUACUCUUGGAUUCACUAAGAGAAUUUGAAAUAAUAUAUCAAGAGAUUAGGAAGAGAAAAGAUGAAUUGAUGAAGAGAGAGAGAGGGGUCUCUUGGAGAGGGAUUUGAGGGGUGAAACUGCGCAUUUAUAGACAAUUGCAGAGAACGAGGCGACGACGGUGACGAGUGGGUGGUGGUGGUUAUCGAAGACUGCCGCGGCGAGGGGCUGGGUUUAUUGAGUUUGGUGGCGUCAGGUUUGGGGAGAGUAAAUUUAAUAGAUUUGGUUGGGAUUUGACUAAUGUUGUUGAAGAGGAUUUGGAAGAAUUGCCACCUAAAAAAUUUUGUUUUCCACCUGUGUUUUCCGUCCAUUUGAUGGAUGGAAAGUUAAAUGAAUGAUGGAUGAGUAAUUUUUGGGAAAGAUGAGUGAGUAUUGGGUAAUCUAUUGAAGAAGAGUGA
rnacentral:lncRNA from 1 species